UACGAAGGGGGCUAGCGUUGCUCGGAAUCACUGGGCGUAAAGGGUGCGUAGGCGGGUCUUUAAGUCAGGGGGGAAAUCCUGGAGCUCAACUCCAGAACUGCCUUUGAUACUGAAGAUCUUGAGUCCGGGAGAGGUGAGUGGAACUGCGAGUGUAGAGGUGAAAUUCGUAGAUAUUAGGAAGAACACCAGUGGCGAAGGCGGCUCACUGGUCCGGUACUGACGCUGAGGUGCGAAAGCGUGGGGAGCAAACAGG
rnacentral:rRNA from 1 species